UACGUAGGGUGCGAGCGUUGUCCGGAAUUAUUGGGCGUAAAGGGCUCGUAGGCGGUUUGUCGCGUCGGGAGUGAAAACGCCGUGCUUAACACGGCGCUUGCUUCCGAUACGGGCAGACUAGAGGUAUUCAGGGGAGAACGGAAUUCCUGGUGUAGCGGUGAAAUGCGCAGAAAUCAGGAGGAACACCGGUGGCGAAGGCGGUUCUCUGGGAAUGACCUGACGCUGAGGAGCGAAAGUGUGGGGAGCGAACAGG
rnacentral:rRNA from 1 species